ACGCUCGACACCUACGGGAGGCAGCAGUGGGGAAUAUUGCACAAUGGGGGGAAACCCUGAUGCAGCGAUGCCGCGUGAAGGAAGAAGUAUCUCGGUAUGUAAACUUCUAUCAGCAGGGAANAAAAUGACGGUACCUGACUAAGAACGCCCCGGCUAACUACGUGCUAGCAGCCGCGGUAAUCUGAGGCGGGCUGGCAAGGC
rnacentral:rRNA from 1 species